rnacentral:rRNA from 1 species
UGAAACUGGNGUUCUUGAGGGCAGGAGAGGAAAGCAGAAUUCCUGGUGUAGCGGUGAAAUGCGUAGAAAUCAGGAGGAAUACCAGUGGCGAAGGCGGCUGCCUGGACUGUCCCUGACGCUG